rnacentral:rRNA from 1 species
AUUGAACGCUGGCGGCAGGCUUAACACAUGCAAGUCGAGCGGGGUGAUGGUGCUUGCACUAUCACUUAGCGGCGGACGGGUGAGUAAUGCUUAGGAAUCUGCCUAUUAGUGGGGGACAACAUCUCGAAAGGGAUGCUAAUACCGCAUACGUCCUACGGGAGAAAGCAGGGGAUCACUUGUGACCUUGCGCUAAUAGAUGAGCCUAAGUCGGAUUAGCUAGUUGGUGGGGUAAAGGCCUACCAAGGCGACGAUCUGUAGCGGGUCUGAGAGGAUGAUCCGCCACACUGGGACUGAGACACGGCCCAGACUCCUACGGGAGGCAGCAGUGGGGAAUAUUGGACAAUGGGGGGAACCCUGAUCCAGCCAUGCCGCGUGUGUGAAGAAGGCCUUAUGGUUGUAAAGCACUUUAAGCGAGGAGGAGGCUCUUUUGGUUAAUACCCAAGAUGAGUGGACGUUACUCGCAGAAUAAGCACCGGCUAACUCUGUGCCAGCCGCCGCGGUAA